rfam:Danio rerio chromosome 4, GRCz11 reference primary assembly.
AGUGCUGUGGCUUAGUUGAUUAAAGCACCUGUCUAGUAAACAGGAGAGCCUGUGUUCAAACAUCAGCAGUUCUG